rnacentral:rRNA from 1 species
GCAGGCUUAACACAUGCAAGUCGAGGGGCAGCAUAAUGGAUAGCAAUAUCUAUGGUGGCGACCGGCGCACGGGUGCGUAACGCGUAUGCAACCUACCUUUAACAGGGGGAUAACACUGAGAAAUUGGUACUAAUACCCCAUAAUAUCAUAGAAGGCAUCUUUUAUGGUUGAAAAUUCCGAUGGUUAGAGAUGGGCAUGCGUUGUAUUAGCUAGUUGGUGGGGUAACGGCUCACCAAGGCGACGAUACAUAGGGGGACUGAGAGGUUAACCCCCCACACUGGUACUGAGACACGGACCAGACUCCUACGGGAGGCAGCAGUGAGGAAUAUUGGUCAAUGGACGCAAGUCUGAACCAGCCAUGCCGCGUGCAGGAUGACGGCUCUAUGAGUUGUAAACUGCUUUUGUACGAGGGUAAACGCAGAUACGUGUAUCUGUCUGAAAGUAUCGUACGAAUAAGGAUCGGCUAACUCCGUGCCAGCAGCCGCGGUAAUACGGAGGAUUCAAGCGUUAUCCGGAUUUAUUGGGUUUAAAGGGUGCGUAGGCGGUUUGAUAAGUUAGAGGUGAAAUUUCGGGGCUCAACCCUGAACGUGCCUCUAAUACUGUUGAGCUAGAGAGUAGUUGCGGUAGGCGGAAUGUAUGGUGUAGCGGUGAAAUGCUUAGAGAUCAUACAGAACACCGAUUGCGAAGGCAGCUUACCAAACUAUAU